GGCAGCUCGGUUUGUAAACACCCCGCUCUCGUUUUACAGCGAGCCGUCAGAUGAAAGAAUUCUGUCGUCGAGUUUGAGGUGGGAAAAGAAGAGGAGGAGAUGGAGGAGGAAGGAGAAAAGAGUUUGAUGCGUUUAAGAUGGAUCCAGGCAGAAGAACCUGAACCCCUGUGGCAGACGUGGCACAAAAUCUGUGCGACUGCAAAGCAGUAACUUCAUUUAAAUCCAGUCUUUCUGGAUGUGUACCAGUUCAGCAAAUAGAAGCGCAUGGAACAAAAGUCUCUUUCUUCAUCUUUGAAUCCCAUUUGCUGUGUACCUAAAAUAAUACAGUAUGCAUCUUGAAUGAAAGUGUGUGUCUGCACGUGUCCUCCCUGUGGGAUCCUUUUAAGAAUGCCGAUUGCAGACGUUCUGUCUGUACGAGUUCACUUCUGGAUGGAAAGACCUGAAGACUUUCACUUGCAAGCUCCUUUAAAGAACCUGGGAGGUCUAGAUGCAACAGUCAAAAGUGGGAAAGAGUUUGCACUUGAAGAAAAUGGCUUUAUGAAGCCCUUCGAGUAUUUAAGAAUUAGAGCUAUUAAAUGCAUGAUCUAUGACUUUUAAAGCUCUGAUCUGCCUAA